rnacentral:rRNA from 1 species
GACAGAGGGUGCAAACGUUGUUCGGAAUUACUGGGCGUAAAGGGCGUGUAGGCGGUCCGCUAAGUCUGAUGUGAAAGCCCGGGGCUCACCCCCGGAAGGGCAUUGGAAACUGGCGGACUCGAGUCUCGGAGAGGAAGGUGGAAUUCCUGGUGUAGCGGUGAAAUGCGUAGAUAUCAGGAGGAAUACCGGUGGCGAAGGCGGCCUUCUGGACGAUGACUGACGCUGAGACGCGAAAGCGUGGGGAGCAAACAGG